CGGCGAGCGAAAAGAAAAUAGUUCAGCACUAAGUCACUUUGUCUUUAUGGCAAAUGUGAGAUGCAGUGUAUGGAAUGUCAAAUUUCUAGUAUGAGAAAUUAACGAUUUAAGUCCUUCUUAAAUGAGACCAUUUACCCAAAGAGGGUGCCAGGCCCGUAUAACGUUAAUGAUUACUAGAUGGCAUUUCCAAAGAGUCGUGUUGCUUGAUAGUGCAGCACUAAGUGGGUGGUAAACUCCAUCUAAAACUAAAUAUAACCAUGAGACCGAUAGUAAACAAGUACCGUGAGGGAAAGUUGAAAAGAACUCUGAAUAGAGAGUUAAAUAGUACGUGAAACUGCUUAGAGGUUAAGCCCGAUGAACCUGAAUAUCCGUUAUGGAAAAUUCAUCUUUAUGAUUUUAAUAUUUAUAAUAUUAUAAUAAUGGUGUGCAUUUUUUCUAUAAAGGACAUUGUAAUCUAUUAACAUNNAAAUAUAUUUAUCAUAAGAUCAUUUGCUUAAGUUUAUUCAAAUUAUUUUGCUUGCAUUUUAAUAUCGAAUAAAUGCUUUUGAUUUGAUAAAGUGUUGAUAGAUUUAUUAUAUAUAGUGCUUAAAUAUUUAUAUUUUAUAAUAGCAUAUUGAUCAUUGAUCUUUAUGUUUAUUAUAUGCACUUAUAUGAUU
rnacentral:rRNA from 1 species